GUGCGGUAUUUUGUCACUUAGUCCCGUUGUUGUAAAGUAAUAAUUAUUUACUGAUAAUGUUUACCAGGCCUAUAUCAGCCAGAGUUCCAAAUAAUAAGUAUUUGACUAAGAUAAUAGUUUGGUCAAAAUGAGUAGAUCUAACAGUAAUAUGGAUGAGUAUAAAACAGUAGGUGAUUCACUAGAAUGCAAGACCUAUUUCCCUGGCUUCAGUUACGGAGAUUUUGAUAGAAAUGGUUGUAUAAGUGCUUGGCAAAUGAGUAAAUAUUUUGAAGGUGGACGAUUGUUUGGCCUGAUGAAUAUGUUUCUUAGUGAACUUCACAGACCUUAUAAACCUAACACAAACUUAUUCCUAGUUGUUCAACACAUACAGCUUGAACCCAAUAGUCUCUGGCUGAAAACAUGUCCUUUCUCUAUUACCAUGAAGUUGAUGCACAUUGGUACAUCUUCCUCCACUGUCAAGCAGGAAAUGAGAAACGAGAAAGACCAAUCGCUACUUGGUACUUGUGAUUUCAAGAUGGUCCGAGUUAAUCGUGAAACGAGGCGUCCGGAACCUUACAGAAAAGACAUGCUUGAGAAAUAUAGUAACAUUCUUGGAACGAAUGAUCCACAAGCAUCGUUAUUUUCUGUUAAAAUACCUGAUCUUCCAUUAAACGCAUUUCGUUUACCGGUUUUCGUUUUACACAGUGAUACAGACGUAAAUAUGCAUUUGAAUCAAAGU